rnacentral:rRNA from 1 species
CCGAGGAAAAGAAAUCAACCGAGAUUCCCCCAGUAGCGGCGAGCGAACGGGGAGCAGCCCAGAGCCUGAAUCAGUGUGUGUGUUAGUGGAAGCGUCUGGAAAGGCGCGCGAUACAGGGUGACAGCCCCGUACACAAAAAUGCACAUGCUGUGAGCUCGAUGAGUAGGGCGGGACACGUGGUAUCCUGUCUGAAUAUGGGGGGACCAUCCUCCAAGGCUAAAUACUCCUGACUGACCGAUAGUGAACCAGUACCGUGAGGGAAAGGCGAAAAGAACCCCGGCGAGGGGAGUGAAAAAGAACCUGAAACCGUGUACGUACAAGCAGUGGGAGCACGCUUAGGCGUGUGACUGCGUACCUUUUGUAUAAUGGGUCAGCGACUUAUAUUCUGUAGCAAGGUUAACCGAAUAGGGGAGCCGAAGGGAAACCGAGUCUUAACUGGGCGUUAAGUUGCAGGGUAUAGACCCGAAACCCGGUGAUCUAGCCAUGGGCAGGUUGAAGGUUGGGUAACACUAACUGGAGGACCGAACCGACUAAUGUUGAAAAAUUAGCGGAUGACUUGUGGCUGGGGGUGAAAGGCCAAUCAAACCGGGAGAUAGCUGGUUCUCCCCGAAAGCUAUUUAGGUAGCGCCUCGUGAAUUCAUCUCCGGGGGUAGAGCACUGUUUCGGCAAGGGGGUCAUCCCGACUUACCAACCCGAUGCAAACUGCGAAUACCGGAGAAUGUUAUCACGGGAGACACACGGCGGGUGCUAACGUCCGUCGUGAAGAGGGAAACAACCCAGACCGCCAGCUAAGGUCCCAAAGUCAUGGUUAAGUGGGAAACGAUGUGGGAAGGCCCAGACAGCCAGGAUGUUGGCUUAGAAGCAGCCAUCAUUUAAAGAAAGCGUAAUAGCUCACUGGUCGAGUCGGCCUGCGCGGAAGAUGUAACGGGGCUAAACCAUGCACCGAAGCUGCGGCAGCGACGCUUAUGCGUUGUUGGGUAGGGGAGCGUUCUGUAAGCCUGCGAAGGUGUACUGUGAGGUAUGCUGGAGGUAUCAGAAGUGCGAAUGCUGACAUAAGUAACGAUAAAGCGGGUGAAAAGCCCGCUCGCCGGAAGACCAAGGGUUCCUGUCCAACGUUAAUCGGGGCAGGGUGAGUCGACCCCUAAGGCGAGGCCGAAAGGCGUAGUCGAUGGGAAACAGGUUAAUAUUCCUGUACUUGGUGUUACUGCGAAGGGGGGACGGAGAAGGCUAUGUUGGCCGGGCGACGGUUGUCCCGGUUUAAGCGUGUAGGCUGGUUUUCCAGGCAAAUCCGGAAAAUCAAGGCUGAGGCGUGAUGACGAGGCACUACGGUGCUGAAGCAACAAAUGCCCUGCUUCCAGGAAAAGCCUCUAAGCAUCAGGUAACAUCAAAUCGUACCCCAAACCGACACAGGUGGUCAGGUAGAGAAUACCAAGGCGCUUGAGAGAACUCGGGUGAAGGAACUAGGCAAAAUGGUGCCGUAACUUCGGGAGAAGGCACGCUGAUAUGUAGGUGAAGUCCCUUGCGGAUGGAGCUGAAAUCAGUCGAAGAUACCAGCUGGCUGCAACUGUUUAUUAAAAACACAGCACUGUGCAAACACGAAAGUGGACGUAUACGGUGUGACGCCUGCCCGGUGCCGGAAGGUUAAUUGAUGGGGUCAGCGCA